UACGUAGGGUGCAAGCGUUAAUCGGAAUUACUGGGCGUAAAGCGUGCGCAGGCGGCUAUGCAAGACAGAUGUGAAAUCCCCGGGCUCAACCUGGGAACUGCAUUUGUGACUGCAUGGCUAGAGUACGGUAGAGGGGGAUGGAAUUCCGCGUGUAGCAGUGAAAUGCGUAGAGAUGUGGAGGAAUACCGAUGGCGAAGGCAGCCCCCUGGGCCAAUACUGACGCUCAUGCACGAAAGCGUGGAGAGCAAACAGG
rnacentral:rRNA from 1 species